rnacentral:misc_RNA from 1 species
ACGUCAUCCCCACCUUCCUCCGAGUUGACCCCGGCAGUCUCCCAUGAGUCCCCGGCAUAACCCGCUGGCAACAUGGGACGAGGGUUGCGCUCGUUGCGGGACUUAACCCAACAUCUCACGACACGAGCUGACGACAACCAUGCACCACCUGUGUGCGACCCUUACGGACCCACCAUCUCUGGAGGAUUUCCGCACAUGUCAAGCCUAGGUAAGGUUCUUCGCGUUGCAUCGAAUUAAGCAACAUGCUCCGCCGCUUGUGCGGGCCCCCGUCAAUUCCUUUGAGUUUUAGCCUUGCGGCCGUACUCCCCAGGCGGGGCGCUUAAUGCGUUAGCUGCGGCACGGAGACCGUGGAAUGGCCCCCACACCUAGCGCCCAACGUUUACGGCGUGGACUACCAGGG